rnacentral:rRNA from 1 species
GGGGGCCCGCACAAGCGGCGGAGCAUGCGGAUUAAUUCGAUGCAACGCGAAGAACCUUACCAAGGCUUGACAUGGACCGGACCGGGCUGGAAACAGUCCUUCCCCUUUGGGGCCGGUUCACAGGUGGUGCAUGGUUGUCGUCAGCUCGUGUCGUGAGAUGUUGGGUUAAGUCCCGCAACGAGCGCAACCCUCGUUCUAUGUUGCCAGCGCGUUAUGGCGGGGACUCAUAGGAGACUGCCGGGGUCAACUCGGAGGAAGGUGGGGACGACGUCAAAUCAUCAUGCCCCUUAUGUCUUGGGCUUCACGCAUGCUACAAUGGCCGGUACAAAGGGUUGCGAUACUGUGAGGUGGAGCUAAUCCCAAAAAGCCGGUCUCAGUUCGGAUUGGGGUCUGCAACUCGACCCCAUGAAGUCGGAGUCGCUAGUAAUCGCAGAUCAGCAACGCUGCGGUGAAUACGUUCCCGGGCCUUGUACACACCGCCCGUCAAGUCACGAAAGUUGGUAACACCCGAAGCCGGUGGCCUAACCCCUUGUGGGAGGGAGCUGUCGAAGGUGGGACUGGCGAUUGGGACUAAGUCGUAAGCAAGGUAACCGUAAGGGC